CUGAGGCGUGGAGAAGCUCCUUAUCUCCCUGAGGGCCACAGAGCUUACAGCAGGCACGAUGCAGAUGUAAGGCCAGGAGGAUUGGCUCCAGAACCUACAUUCCUGGUCCCAGGUUUCAAACUCAGACUGUCAAGCUUGGCAGCCAUCUCUUCCACUGCUGAGGCAUCUAGUGUCCCUUCUUAGCCCAGAAUACUGGUUUCUUCCAAGACACUCUAUUCUUACAGGAGACUUCCACAGCAAGACCAAUUUGCCUGUGAACGUGCAUCUCUUCAACCCUUACCUUCGUUGUGGAGACUCCUGGGACAGACAGUCCUCUUUGAGCAAGAGGCGAGUUUUCUGUGGAAGUUGGAAAGUCACCUGGGCUAACCAAGGACUGCACUUGCAACAACAUGAAUAAAUGAAGCAGAAUUAAGAUUUAUUAAAGUUAGAUGACAGCGCUUCUUCCACCAGAGGAGCCGUUCGUACAGAGGAGCAAAACCUGUUGUUUCCAGCAGCUGUAGAAACUGAAAGGAUGACCGCACCAAGCUUCACUUAAGAUGAAGUUGAACGACGGUACCUGGAUCACUUUAAAAACGCCAUUCAUUCGCUUCCUUUGGAGACAGGGUCUCACUACACCACUCCUGAUGCCCUGGAGCUCACUGUGUGAUGAGGCUGCCCAGACCUUACUAUGUAGACCAAACUGGCCCGGCACCCACAGAGACCUGCCUCCUGACUGCUGGGAUCAAAGGUGUAGGGAAAUACGUGUUUGUGGAAAAUGUCCCCACCGCAGUGAUUUCGGGAAGCUCUGAGGACUGACUGCCAGUGACCAUGUGUGUGUCAGGGACAUAUAGAAAUAUCUGGGGGUUGAGGAUUUAGCUCAGUGGUAGAGCGCUUGCCUAGCAAGCACAAGGCCCUGGAUUCGGUCCCCAGCUCCGAAAAAAAAGAAAAAGAAAAGAAAAAAAGAAAUAUCUGAAGGAUCUGGGAUCUUCCUCUCUUGUCUUUGAGUCAAAUCCCUUCAUCAGGUUCUGGAGUCUGUCUCUCCUGUCUUUCAAAGACUUCCGUUCACCUCCUCCCUCAGUCUCCUCAAACAUUUCUCUCUUAUCAGUGUUUGUCUUGACCUAACUCUCUACCAUCUCAAGCUUGCUUCUCCUGGUUGUACGUUUGCCCACAAGGCUCUCUUUCACCCACAAUAAUUAUCAUGAACUACGGAUGCUUAUAAUUUUUAAACCAGCCAUUGUUUCACAAAUGGAUUUCAACCAUAAAAAUUUGUUAACUCAAUAUCCAUGUUAUCCCAUCCUUAUCUUCCCCUCAGAGUACAGAUUUAUUGUUUUUAUUUAAAUGUAUGCAUAUGUAUGUAUGUAUGCCUGUAUGUAUGCAUACCCGUUUGCCUGCAGAAGAGAGGAUGAGUCCUGAGGUGCUGGAGUUAUAAUAGUUGUGAGCCUCCCAGUAUAGGUGCCAGGAACUGAACCCAGGUCCUCUGAAGAGCAGCCAAUGCUCCUAACUCCUGAGUCAUCUCUAGCCCCAAGAAUGACCUCUUGAUCUACCACUCUGUUUUAGCUUGUGAACACCCAGGAGCCAAGACUCUGCCUUAUUUGUUUGUUUACUUGAUGACCAGCAUGUGGUAUUCUGUCUAUGCUUACAAAUGUCUUUGUGGAUUUUGAAAAAUAAAUUGAGUAUGGUUGCUUUGAGUGAU